CUUAACAUGAGCUGAUUCCUCUCCCCCUGAAAGAGCCACGCGGAGCCAGCGAGAGUAAGAGACCUGGAGAGAGCUGCAGAGACAGAAAGAGAAAGAAGGGAUCUGACAAAAAGGAUGCCAAUGAUGCUGGAAGACAGAACUGUAUACUUACCCCAGUCUCCAUUUUAAUGAAUGAGGAAAUGUGGUUCCACACACAAACCCUUGGCUCCCUGGUUUGGCUGCUGGCCUUGCUUCCUGUCAGCAUGGAUUUGGGAACCUGAGAGAGGCUUUAGUGUCAGAUGGGUAACUUUAAGCCUCUUCAACUGCUUAAAAAUGCAAUUUAAUCAAAAAAGAAAAAUGCAAUUAAUAAUGGUGAUGUGUCUGGUUUUGGUAUGCAUAUAGAAAAUUGAAUGUCGCCUACUUGUAAUUUUAUAAGAGGCAUUUGACUUGAGAUGUGAAUAACCACAACUAGAAUGUGCUUCACACUAUGCAUUUGUACCUUAGAAGAACUUACAUGUCUUUAUGAUGACCUUUGAAAUAAAAAGUAAACAGAG